CUUCACCGACCCCAGCCACAACGGGCCACCCUGACCGCGCUCCUGACCGUACGUCGCCAGCAACGCCUGCGCCUC
rnacentral:antisense_RNA from 1 species